UUAGCGGCGCUUCUAAGCGCCACUAAAACAUUUUGUGGCGCUUUUG
rfam:Gossypium arboreum cultivar AKA8401 contig_4259_13, whole genome shotgun sequence.